rnacentral:rRNA from 1 species
AUUGAACGCUGGCGGCAGGCCUAACACAUGCAAGUCGAACGAGUGGCGGACGGGUGAGUAAUGUAUGGGGAACUGCCCGAUGGAGGGGGAUAACUACUGGAAACGGUGGCUAAUACCGCAUACCAUCGGAUGUACCCAUAUGGGAUUAGCUAGUAGGUGGGGUAAAGGCUCACCUAGGCGACGAACCCUAGCUGGUCUGAGAGGAUGAACAGCCACACUGGAACUGAGACACGGUCCAGACUCCUACGGUAGGCAGCAGUGGGGAAUAUUGCACAAUGGGCGCAAGCCUGAUGCAGCCAUGCCGCGUGUAUGAAGAAGGCCUUCGGGUUGUAAAGUACUUUCAGCGGGGAGGCGUUACCCGCAGAAGAAGCACCGGCUAACUCCGUGCCAGCAGCCGCGGUAAUAC